rfam:Salmo salar isolate Sally breed double haploid chromosome ssa12, whole genome shotgun sequence.
AAUGCACCAAUUUGUAAGUCGCUUUGGAUAAGAGCGUCUGCUAAAUGACGUAAA